CUUCCAGUAGCACCUUAGAGACCAACUAAGUUUGUUAUUGGUAUGAGCUUCCGUGUGCAUGCCCACUUCUUCAGAUUGGUCUUCAGAAGAAGUGUGCAUGCACACGAAAGCUCAUACCAAUAACAAACUUAGUUGUCUCUAAGGUGCUACUGGAAG